AACCUUGUGGUGUAGCGUGUAGCACGCCGGCCAGUGUGUCGAAAGUAUGGGUUCGAUUCCCGUCGAGGUUC